rnacentral:rRNA from 1 species
GAUGAACGCUGGCGGCGUGCCUAAUACAUGCAAGUCGAGCGAACAGACGAGGAGCUUGCUCCUCUGACGUUAGCGGCGGACGGGUGAGUAACACGUGGAUAACCUACCUAUAAGACUGGGAUAACUUCGGGAAACCGGAGCUAAUACCGGAUAAUAUAUUGAACCGCAUGGUUCAAUAGUGAAAGACGGUUUUGCUGUCACUUAUAGAUGGAUCCGCGCCGCAUUAGCUAGUUGGUAAGGUAACGGCUUACCAAGGCAACGAUGCGUAGCCGACCUGAGAGGGUGAUCGGCCACACUGGAAAUGAGACACGGUCCAGGCGCCUACGGGAGGCAGCAGUAGGGAAUCUUCCGCAAUGGGCGAGAGCCUGACGGAGCAACGCCGCGUGAGUGAUGAAGGUCUUCGGACCGUAAAACUCUGUUAUUAGGGAAGAACAAAUGUGUAAGUAACUAUGCACGUCUUGACGGUACCUAAUCAGAAAGCCACGGCUAACUACGUG